CAAUAGUGUAUAUUAACGUUGUUGCAGUUAAAAAGCUCGUAGUUGGAUUUCUGGAGGGAGCGUCGGCCCGUAUUUACGAGUGCGUGACGUCUCUGUCCAUCCUUGCGGGAAGGCACGGCAUUGAUUUGUUGUGUCGGAUCGCAUCAUUUACUGUGAAAAAAUUAGAGUGUUCAAAGCAGGCUUUCGCUUGAAUACAUUAGCAUGGAAUAAUAAGAUAGGACUUUGGUGCUAUUUUGUUGGUUGAGCCUAAAGUAAUGAUUAAUAGGGAUAGUUGGGGGCACCUGUAUUGCGUUGUCAGAGGUGAAAUUCUUGGAUUUACGCAAGACAAACAGCUGCGAAAGCGUCUGCCAAGGAUGUUUUCAUUA
rnacentral:rRNA from 1 species